rnacentral:misc_RNA from 1 species
AACGCACAUUGCGCCCCUUGGUAUUCCGAGGGGCAUGCCUGUUCGAGCGUCAUUAUAACCACUCAAGCCUCGGCUUGGUAUUGGGGUUCGCGGUCUCGCGGCCCUUAAAACUAGUGGCGGUGCCAUCUGGCUCUAAGCGUAGUAAUUCUCUCGCUACAGGGCCUAGGUGGUUACUUGCCAAAACCCCCCUAUUUUCUAUGGUUGACCUCGGAUCAGGUAGGGAUACCCGCUGAACUUAA